CACGUAGGGUCCGAGCGUUGUCCGGAAUUACUGGGCGUAAAGCGCGCGCAGGCGGCCCCGACACAUCGGCGGUGAAAGCCCCCCCGCUUAACGGGGGGAGGGUCCGUCGUGAUGGUCGGGCUGGAGGCAGGGAGAGGGCGGUGGAAUUCCGGGUGUAGUGGUGAAAUGCGUAGAGAUCCGGAGGAACACCAGUGGCGAAGGCGGCCGCCUGGACCUGACCUGACGCUG
rnacentral:rRNA from 1 species